rnacentral:rRNA from 1 species
AUUGAACGCUGGCGGCAGGCCUAACACAUGCAAGUCGAGCGAGCGGCGGACGGGUGAGUAAUGUCUGGGAAACUGCCUGCUGGAGGGGGAUAACUACUGGAAACGGUAGCUAAUACCGCAUACCAUCAGAUGUGCCCCGAUGGGAUUAGCGCGUAGGUGGGGUAAUGGCUCACCUAGGCGACGAUCCCUAGCUGGUCUGAGAGGAUGACCAGCCAAACUGUAACGGAGACACGGCCCAGACUCCUACGGGAGGCAGCAGGGGGGAAUAUUGCACAAGGGGCGCAAGCCUGAGGCAGCCAUGCCGCGUGUGUGAAGAAGGCCUUCGGGUUGUAAAGCACUUUCAGCGGGGAGGCGUUACCCGCAGAAGAAGCACCGGCUAACUCCGUGCCAGCAGCCGCGGUAAUAC